CCCAAAUCCGAGCACCCGCGGGGUCCCCGGCGGGCACUGCCUGCACUCCCCCCAGUCUCUGCCUCCCGAGCCUCAGCCCCAGUGCCUGGGAUCAGCGCAUAAGCAGGCUGUGCUUUGGUCCAUCCACCCUCUCCAGCUUCUCAAAGUGUUUCCUGGCAUUCCGGAUGUUGAUCAGCGUGGCCGCAGAAGCUGUGACGGAAAAGGAACAGGGGAGAUAAAAAGAAGUUAAAAAGGGUUUCUCUUGGCUCUAACUUACGUAUGGAGGGGUCUGACAUGACCACCAUCACGUAGGUGUUGGAUGUGAAGAUGUCAAUGAAAGCAGC